rnacentral:rRNA from 1 species
CCAGACUCCUACGGGAGGCAGCAGUGGGGAAUAUUGCACAAUGGGCGAAAGCCUGAUGCAGCAACGCCGCGUGAGCGAAGAAGUACCUCGGUAUGUAAAGCUCUAUCAGCAGGGAAGAAGAUGACGGUACCUGACCAAGAAGCUCCGGCUAAAUACGUGCCAGCAGCCGCGGUAAUACGUAUGGAGCAAGCGUUAUCCGGAUUUACUGGGUGUAAAGGGAGCGCAGGCGGCCUUGCAAGUCUGAUGUGAAAGACCGGGGCCCAACCCCGGGACUGCAUUGGAAACUGCGAGGCUGGAGUGUCGGAGAGGCAGGCGGAAUUCCUAGUGUAGCGGUGAAAUGCGUAGAUAUUAGGAGGAACACCAGUGGCGAAGGCGGCCUGCUGGACGAUGACUGACGCUGAGGCUCGAAAGCGUGGGGAGCAAACAGGAUUAGAUGCCCUUGUA